rnacentral:tRNA from 1 species
GAGGGUAUAGCUCAGUGGUAGAGCAUGUGCGUAACAUGCACAAGGUCCGGGAUUCAAUCCCCAAUACUUCCA